UACCCUACUGAUGAGUUCGUUGUCUAAACAGUAAUCCCACCCAGUACGAGAGGAACCGUUGGUUCAGAUAAUUGGUAACUGCGGUUAGCUGAAAAGCUAGUGCCGCCAAGCUACCAUCUGUAGGAUUAUGGCUGAACGCCUCUAAGUCAGAAUCCAUGCUGGAAUAGACGAU